AGUUGAAAAAAGAAAAAAGAAAAAAGAAAUAAUUUGAUCCAUGAGGUGAUGAUUCAGAUUAUUUUUACCUGAGGUCGGGACUCAAUAAACAAGGCCGUAGCCCAUAAAAAUACUUGAAAAGGUCGGCACGGCAGGCACAGAUUUCCAACAAAUCUAGAAGUUCUGUUGAUGUUUAUAAAACCCUAACCUCAUCAUCAACCAACGCAAGCGAGCGAACCCUAGCCAUAGCCACCAAAUCGUUAACAGUCUCUUUUCCUCCUCAAAAUCCAUGGCGAGAAAACGAAAACUCGACUCCAAAUCCACCGAAACAGCAGAAGAACCGCCGAAGAAACAACAGCAACAAGAAGAACCACCAAAGGAAGAACCUCAAGAAGAAGAAGUAGAAGAGGAGGAGGAAGAAGAAUAUGAAGAAGUGGAAGAGGAGGAAGAAGAUAAUGAAGAUGAUCAAGAUGGAGAGACCAAUCAAGACGCUCAGAUCUCAGCUGUUGAGAAUCUAAACGACGACGAUGACGAAGACGAGGAGCCGAUUGAGAAACUUCUUGAACCUUUUGGAAAAGACCAGUUGAUUAAUUUACUUCGUGAAGCAGCGGAUGGUCACCUAGAUGUUGCAGAUAAAAUCCGGCAAGUAGCUGACCAAGAUCCGGUGCACCGGAAGAUUUUUGUUCAUGGGCUUGGUUGGGAUACGAAUGCUGAGGCUUUGGUCAAUGCGUUUAAGCCUUAUGGUGAGAUUGAGGACUGUAAAGCUGUGUGCGAUAAGGUUACGGGGAAAUCGAAGGGUUAUGGGUUUAUUUUGUUUAAGAAAAGGAGUGGGGCGCGGAAGGCGUUGAAGGAGCCGCAGAAGAAGAUAGGGAAUAGGAUGGCAGCUUGUCAAUUGGCUUCUAUUGGUCCGGUUCCCCAGUCCGGUGCUGGACCCUCUGGGCCGAUUGCUGCUGCUGCGCAAACACAGCAGCCGGUUUCGGAGUAUACGCUGAGGAAGAUUUAUGUGAGUAAUGUGGGAGCAAAUUUGGAUCCUCAGAAGCUGAUGAGUUUCUUUUCGGAGUUUGGAGAGAUUGAAGAAGGACCAUUAGGGCUUGAUAAAGCGACUGGGAAACCGAAAGGGUUUUGUUUGUUUGUUUAUAAGACAGUUGAGAGUGCUAAGAAAGCGUUAGAAGAGCCACAUAAGAGUUUUGAAGGGCACAUUUUGCAUUGUCAGAAAGCUGUUGAUGGGCCAAAACAUGCGAAAUCGCAGAAACCACCACAGCAGCAUCAUAAUAUGCAAAGCUCGCAUUACCAGAGGAAUGAUGGAGGUGGGUAUGUUGCUAGUGGGGGUCGUGGUGGUCAUUUAAUGGCCCCGGCUGCUGCUGGUGCUGGGAUUGGGUUUAAUCAGAGUGCUGCUGCUCCUGCUUUGAACCCUGCUCUUGGACAGGCGCUGACCGCGUUGCUUGCCACUCAGGGUGCUGGAUUGGGAGGGCUCACUAAUUUGCUUGGGACUUUGGGAUCUGCUGCCGCUGUGACCCAGGGUGGUGUACCUAGUGCAGCUCAUGGAAUGCAGGGUGCCUAUGGGAACCAGGCGAGCAUAAGUCCUGGAGUGAUAGGAGCUUAUGCGAAUCAGGGAGCUAUGCAGGGUGGAUAUCCAAAUCAGCAGAUGGGACAGGGUGGUUCUGGGAGAGGACAACAUGGGCAAUAUACCCCUUAUAUGGGUCACUAGGUGUCCAUCAGGCUGAGAGUUCCUAGCCCUCACCAGCUGGCUUCGAGUAAUAUUAGGAAAUUUUCUUUCUGGGUGUGUGUGUGGGGCUUUUGGAACUUUUAACAUCAGUUGACCACUCUGAAUUCUGAAAAAUUAUGCCUUGUGAUGCAAAAAAGGGUUGCAACUUUUUGCUGAGCAGUUUUAGAAGUCUGUGGUUUUAUGGUGCAGAACUGUUUUAACUGGUGGUUUUUCUGUGAUAUUGUAAUUUUAAAUUGAUCAAAGUGUUUUACUCACGGAUGUACUGAAAAUAAGUUUGACAACUUUGACAAGAAUUGGUGCCUUUCCCCCUUGCAUCAGCAACAGGUUGCUUUGGAAAAAUCUUUGCUUUUAUGAUAUGAGGGUGAUUUAGGUUGUGGUUUAUUUGUGACAAAGUUACCAUAUAUGUUUUGAAGUAGUUUUUUGAUCAAAUACUCUUGAAGGCAGCAUACCUUUUUGAAGUCCCUUGAGCAGUGCUUUGCGCAAUCUAAACCUUGCCAGUUUUAAAAUCAGAACAAUUGUAUAACUUCUGUUAUUGGGGGUGAUGCUACCUGAGAGAAGCUUGAGAUGUGACUCUAUAACUAUUCAAUGCACAGUCCGCUUAAGAUUUUUUGUUGAACUUGUUUCAUAUAUUUGAAACACCAACACUGUAUAUGAGGCCCACAGAAUGCGUGGCAUUAUGGAUUUGCUGGUCACUGUUCCACAAAAUAACUGGUGGUUGCGAGGGGGUCAAAAGGUGAGAAAUCAGCUGUAAUGAUUCUUUAAUUGUCCAAAUGAAUUCUCUUAAUUUGUUGUGCAUUGCAGUACCUGAGUCCAUAGAAUUGCAUGGGCCUUUUCUAAAGUCUUGUGGCUCACCCCUGCUAGUUUUUAAUUAAGUUAGUUGAGUUAAAGUGGGAGUCAAAAGCAUUUUGUAUUCAACUCUUCAACCUUAUAACCAUGUGAUAGAAGGAAAUAAUAUGUGGUAGUGAAUCAGAAGAUAAUACAUUAGUUCAAAUGCUAUUCUUUGAUUCUACUAAUUAAGUUAGUGUUAUCCUCACGUUGUAUUGCAUGAGUAUAUAGAAUUUCAUAGACUGUGGGGUUCAUGUAAUAACCCUCCUAUUUAUUGUUAUGUUACAAGCCAUUAAAUAUAUGAAGAAGAAAAAAGUUAUGAAUUUAACAAAGUGACAUCUUUCACUGAAAACACAUGGGAGCUGAAAGCUAGCAUGUUCUACCACGGGUUUCAAAGUUUAAGUCACUUCACUCUGAUGUGUUCAUAUUUUGAUUCUGAAUGCAGUUGAUAUGGCUUCUCAAUGUCGAAUUUUUUCAAAUCUGUCAAGUUUCUAAGUUCAAGUUACCUUUCCACUCCAGCUUUUCAGCAUUAUUUUCACGGAAUUUCUGCUUGCUUUGUCUUGAAAAACUCAAUAUAGCUCUUUGCCUGAUAUUCGGAUGGCUUUGCUUUAAAGUUGAGACUGAAGAUAAACUUGUAUGCAUGACUUGAGUAUAUACUAUAUAGGUUUCUUGAAAGCUUGUGCCCCUCUUUACCCUUUAGAAGCGUGGGAUAGAUUGGGUGGAUAUUUGUGUUUAGCAGAUUUCAGUCCCUAUGGAAGCACUCAAGGGCUUUAAAGCAAGGAGGCGGCAUGGCUGGGAGAUGAUGUGGAUCGUCCUAGGAUGAGUGAUUAAGAUACCAUGGCUAGCUUAUUGGUGCCUCUUUGGUUGGUGGACUAAGGAUUGCUUCCCCAAGGUUUUCAUUCAACGUAGAAAUUCUACUUUAAAUGGGUUGAAACCCCAAAUUCUAAUAAUUUCUAUUACUAUUGAUAAAUUGCGAGUAUGAUUUCAUUGAUAUUUUUCUUUGUAAUUUCGUACAGUAUGCCGAAAUGGGUAUUUACCAGAGUAAGCGAACCAGCUAAAUUGAUAAACUGGGUUGGUUAUAUUAUUCCAUCUCCGAGGCUUGUUAA